UACGUAGGGCGCAAGCGUUGUUCGGAAUUACUGGGCGUAAAGCGCACGUAGGCGGCUUGGUAAGUUAGAGGUGAAAGCCUGGAGCUCAACUCCAGAAUUGCCUUUAAGACUGCCGAACUAGCAGGUGAGAGAGGUGAGUGGAAUUCCGAGUGUAGAGGUGAAAUUCGUAGAUAUUCGGAAGAACACCAGUGGCGAAGGCGGCUCACUGGCUCAUACUGGACGCUGAGGUGCGAAAGCGUGGGGAGCAAACAGG
rnacentral:rRNA from 1 species